AUGCUACCAAUCAAGUAUGAAAAUAAUAUAAUUCACCGUUCCAAUCCCUGUGUUACCAAUAUUUCAUCAUCAUCCUCCUCAAAAAUAAAAACAAUUUUUGUUUUGACAGAAUACAGCAAUAAAAUGCAUCUCAAAGAAAAUUGUAGCUAUUCACUCCAACAACUAGGUUGCUAUGUUGAGGUUGAAUCUGUAAACUUUAUAAAUAUUUUUUUUUUAAUUUUAUUUAAAUGA